rnacentral:rRNA from 1 species
CAGGACGAACGCUGGCGGCGUGCCUAACACAUGCAAGUCGAACGGAGUUACAAGAAUUCGGUUGAGUAACUUAGUGGCGGACGGGUGAGUAACGCGUGAGUAACCUGCCGACAAGAGGGGGAUAACGUUCUGAAAAGAACGCUAAUACCGCAUAACGUAUAGAAGCCGCAUGGCUAUUAUACCAAAGGAGCAAUCCGCUUGUUGAUGGACUCGCGUCCGAUUAGCUGGUUGGUGAGGUAACGGCUCACCAAGGCGACGAUCGGUAGCCGGACUGAGAGGUUGAACGGCCACAUUGGGACUGAGACACGGCCCAGACUCCUACGGGAGGCAGCAGUGGGGGAUAUUGCGCAAUACGGGGGGAAACCCUGACGCAGCAACGCCGCGUGAAGGAAGAAGGUCUUCGGAUUGUAAACUUCUUUUGUUAAGGACGAAGAAAGUGACGGUACUUAACGAAUAAGCUCCGGCUAACUACGUGCCAGCCGCCGC